rnacentral:misc_RNA from 1 species
UCCGGUUUGGCACCGGCAGUCCUCCCAGAGUCCUCGGCAUGACCCGGUAGCAACUGGGAGCGGGGGUUGCGCUCGUUGCGGGACUUAACCCAACAUCUCACGACACGAGCUGACGACAGCCAUGCAGCAUCUGUGCAUGAGCUCCGAAGAGCAGCUCUGAUCUCUCAGAGCCUUCCCAUGCAUGUCAAGACCAGGUAAGGUUCUUCGCGUUGCAUCGAAUUAAACCACAUGCUCCACCGCUUGUGCGGGUCCCCGUCAAUUCCUUUGAGUUUUAACCUUGCGGCCGUACUCCCCAGGCGGUCAACUUCACGCGUUAGCUUCGUUACCAAGGAAUUGCUUCCCCGACAACCAGUUGACAUAGUUUAGGGCGUGGACUAC